AUUGAACGCUGGCGGCAGGCCUAACACAUGCAAGUCGAACGGUAACAGGAAACAGCUUGCUGUUUCGCUGACGAGUGGCGGACGGGUGAGUAAUGUCUGGGAAACUGCCUGAUGGAGGGGGAUAACUACUGGAAACGGUAGCUAAUACCGCAUAACGUCGCAAGACCAAAGAGGGGGACCCUCGGGCCUCUUGCCAUCGGAUGUGCCCAGAUGGGAUUAGCUUGUUGGUGGGGUAACGGCUCACCAAGGCGACGAUCCCUAGCUGGUCUGAGAGGAUGACCAGCCACACUGGAACUGAGACACGGUCCAGACUCCUACGGGAGGCAGCAGUGGGGAAUAUUGCACAAUGGGCGCAAGCCUGAUGCAGCCAUGCCGCGUGUAUGAAGAAGGCCUUCGGGUUGUAAAGUACUUUCAGCGGGGAGGAAGGGUGUAAAGUUAAUACCUUUGCUCAUUGACGUUACCCGCAGAAGAAGCACCGGCUAACUCCGUG
rnacentral:rRNA from 1 species